CUGAGCGCGGGGGGAAGGAGUGGGGCCGCGGACGCCGUCCGUGUGGGUCACCGGCGGCCGCCUAGGCUCGCCGGGCUCGGGGGCCGGGCCCACCGACCGCCCCGCACCCCUCGCCUGCUCCCCCAGCAGUUAGCGCGGCGGCCAAGUGGGGCCGGGCCUGACCCCUCCCAACUCCGCGCCGCCCGGAGGCGGCGGAGCGGGCCGGGUUCUCCCGCCCAAACGCUGCCAGGGUGUGCGGCCACCUGCGGAGGCGGCAAGACGCGGAAGCCAAGGAUAUGAUUAUUGAUUUUGGAGAGAGAAGAAAAAGGGAGAGAGAAAAGGAGAGAAACAUCCAUGGGUUGCCUCUUUCCCCCACCCUGACAAGGACGGAACCCACAACCUAGUCAGGUGCCCUGACCAGGAAUCAAACCACAACCUUUUGGCGUAUGGAAUGGUCCUGCAACCAACUGCACCACACUGGCCAGGGCAAGUUUUUGAAAAGUAAGUUGCCAGGCGUCCUACAACCAUGAGGAAAUGAAUUCUGCCCACAACCAGAGUCAACUCAGAAGAUUCUUUCCCAGCAAAAUCUCUUGUGAGAAAACGGUCCUGGGACACACGUUGAUUGCAGCCGCGUGUCACCCUAAGCAGUGCACCCGUUAAGCCGUGCCUAAACUCCAGACCCAGAGACACUAUCAGACAGUAAAUGUGUGCUAUUUUAAGCCACUGAGUUUGUGGUAACUUGUCACACAGCAACAGAAAACUAACACACUGGGUAAAGUGAGGUGUCAAGGAAUUCCCAAAUGUUCCAACAUGGGGCUGCGUCCUCAGGCUGUGUGCUCAAAGGGAGUGAGAGGCUCAAGACCUACUGCUCACACUUCCAGGGCUUCAGGUUCCGUGUGCUUCUGGAAGGGGACUGGAGUUUUGCCACAGUCCCUUGUUGGCACGAGAAAUUUGUAAGUUAGAAAAGGUGGCGAUUAUCCCAAAGCUGCACUUGCUCAAUAAGCACAGUUUGUACCUGGAUUAUGAGAAAAAGAAGACAUCUCCUGAUAGCCGGAAGCUGGCCUGGCGCUGUCGGUGAAGACUUGCUGUAGAGUUCUCCUGUUGGACGUAAAUAACUUCACAGAUGUCACCGUCCGACAAGGCCACUCUGACUGUGAUGGGCGAGGACAAAUACAAGACCGCUCCAUGAUCUCAUCUCCACAGUAAGUGUCCGGACCACACAAAGGGCCAGAUAUCCCCAUCAUGGCUAAUGAGUGGCCGCUGCUGCUUUACCCACCCAGCUCCACUUUGGCUUCGAUCAUUUCCCCCACCUUGUACACUAGAUGUGGUAAGAUGCUGUUAUGGGCUGAACUGAACUAUGUCCCCUUGAAAUUCAUGCGUUGAAGCCCAUACCUUGUACGUCAGAACGGGACUACUUUUCUUAAAUGGGGUCUCUAGAGAGGUGAUUACAUUAAAAUGGGGCCAUUAGGGUGGGCACUAAUCCAAUCUGAUUGCUGUCCUUGUAAGAAGACAUUUAGACACAAAAAAGACAUCAGGGGCACUCAGGCAUGGUGGGACAACCAUGUGAGGACACAGCAAGAAAGCGACCCUCUGCAAGUCAAGAAAAGAGGUCUCAGGAGAUACCAAACCUGCUGACACCUUGAUCUUGGACUUCCGGCCUCCGGAACUGUGAGAAAAUUAAUGUCCGUUGUUUAAGCCACCCAGUCUGUGGUACUUUGUUAUGGCAGCCCGAGCAAACUAACACAGAUUCUCAGUCAGAGUUACACCCACAUCAUGAGAACACCCAAUCCAGAGCAAAGCCCUGCUUCUUUGAACCUCCUCCAAAAUCACCUGAGAACUCAGGCAAAAUCCUGCAGCAAGUCCUCAGAACACCCUCGUACUGAGACCCCCCACAGUUCCCCAAGGCAUAAGUUCUUCCUCGUUGCAAAGAGCAGUAAAGUGAACUAAUUCAACUUCAGGUGUGUCCCUGAUGAUCUGUGGCUAAAGGACAUUAAUAACUGUGUAUCUACGUCCGGUGACUCUGGCCAGCACCCCACGCCAUCCAUCCCUGUGCUUCCACUGGUCUUCCUCCAUCAGGCCUUGUGUAGGGAGGAGCUGGCACAUCUCCUCCCCCACCCCUCCCCUCUCUCCCUGCCCCCCACACACCCCGCGGCUGACACAGCAGUGGAGUGAAUGGUUCUUGCUCCCAGAAGCCUGGUGUAAUGUGGUGCCCGUAUGAAUGAUUCCGGGCAGAAAGGGCUUUGUAGUGUGUCAAGAUGAGCUGAGGCUUCCCAGGAGAGCACUGGAGGAACCAUGAAUGGUCGCUGUUCAGCUAGCUUCUGCCUUCAGCUUACUGCGUAGACUGUGCAAGCAGAGGAGAGAGCUGAACUGCGAGAUGCUGGUGGACGUGAGAGAGACCUUUCUUCUGGGGAUGGGAGGAUGGGCAGAGUAGAGAUAAGGAAAGUGAAGAAGGCUAUUGGAGGAGGAGGAGCAGAGAAGUUGGCCAGGGAAUUUUUAAUUACAUUUUGCUGUUCAUUAGUAUGAAAACUUCAGGAAAUGUAUAGUAAAAUUUAAAUCACACACCAUUCUUUCAAAAAUGAGUUUUGGGCUUCUGACAUUGAAGCAUUUGGCUUCAAGGUGAGCCUGGGGGGUGGGGAGAGGAAGGCUUCCAGAGGGGGACCAGCCACCUAACUGUGUGAUUUUUACUAUGAAUCUACAGUGAACAAACCUAGGAAUAUUUUUUAAGUGACGCGAGCGAUUGGUAAGUUUUCACGGGACUGGCUAGUGAUUGUUCUCUAGAACCUUUCAAAAGCUCUAACUUGCUACCCAAUGUAUGUUUGGUUUACAUCACUUUUUGUCCUUAAUGAUCCCUUCAUCCCUUCUAUAAACUGCUGCAUCCACUUAGUCAACACGCUUAUUAAAUCCCUGGGCAUUCCCACGCGGGGAGGGGGUUAGAGCCCUGACUACAGCAGACAGGAGCCCCGGGCCCAGGAGCUCUGUGUGGAGUGCGGCGCAGUUCUCAGCCCUGGUUGCACAUCAGCAUCGCCAGGAGAACUCUGAAAACUAGCGGCGCCCCAGCUCCACACCUGGUUAGUGAACUCAGAAUCUUACGGGGAGGUAGGGGGCAGCAUCAGCAUUUUAAAAGCUGCCCCGGUAAAGUUAAUGUGCCGGCCAAGGUUAAGCGACAGACAGAAAAAAAAGAAAAUUAUAAUAAUGGUAGAGUAUGUGUAACAAGCGUCCAUGACAGCCCAUAACCAAGGCCAUCCCUACAGGGGAAUUUCCCAGUAGAAUGUUGUCUUAAUAGAGACUGGGAUUUGAACAGGAGUCAGCAAAAGAACACCAUUCCGGGGAGAAGAACCAGGAUAGACAAAGGCCUUGAGGCGUGAGACAGUGAGCUGUGUUCACAGAAUUCACCCUGGUGACACAUAGAUGAAGGCAGGUAACAGUAACAAGAAGAAAGAAAAGCAGGGGCCAGAGGUGAAGAACCCAUGAAAUGGGCUGAGGAAUGUGGCCCGUAUCUGAAAGCUCUGCAGAGCCCUCGAAGUGCUUUAGGCAGAGGAACUGGACAAGCAAAUGUGCCCUUUCUGCCCUGGCUGGUGUGGCUCAGGGGGUCGAGCACCGGACUGUGAACCAGUAGGUCGCUGACCAGUUCGAUUCCUGGUCAGGGCACCUGCCUGGGUUGUGGGGCCGGGUCCCCACUUGGCAACGGAUCAA